CCCAUCCUCCCCAAUUAAAGAACCACCAACCUCCUGUGCUAUAGAUAGCAUUUGAUUACUGCUACAGUGUUAUUAGGAAUGUUAAUUAGAUUGGUCCCGCGGUUCUUAAUUUUUUGUAUUUUUUUCCCCCUUUUUAAUCAUUGACAUUUUAUUUAAUUGUUAUGCGCUAGUAACAUAAGCAUUUCACUGCACACGCAAUAUAACACCUGCCUAAUUGCGUACGCAACUAAUACAUUUUGAUUUGAUUUAAAUCGUUGUGCAACAUCAUGGGUAAGCUCUGGCCUUCAUUUUUCCGCUCGAAAAAGUGGAUUUCUACUGGUGUGGCAGUUUAAUAUGCAUAUCUACUCUGUUCCUAGUGACCUCUAAUCUCUAACCCUUUAAUAGUCUUUACGAUGAUUAGAAAUAGAUGUCAGAUGGAGUUUUUAUACUGUAGAUUAGACAACCUUAAACCUACCAUCAGCUCUCUGGCUCAAUGCAAUGAAUCUUCUCUCUCUCUCUCUCUCUCUCGCUCUCUCGCUCUCUCUGGCAAUCAGUAAGUACAUCCCAUGUAUGGGUGUGUUGCUGUGUGUUCCUACCAGAGAUCGUUAUAGCAGCUUCAUGUGCUCCACCCGUCGUUCAACCCUCACCAGUACAUCUGACCCUUGCAAGACUGGCAAGUGUCGCUUCUCCUCCCUGUACAACAGUGAAUCAACUCUUUCCUUUCCAGGCUCUGACAGAGCCAGAGGACAUCUCCAUAUCUGAAGUCAUUGGUUUUACCAAUAUCCUUCCUGCUACUCUGGAAGAUGUCAGAAAGGAAAAGUCUAAAGGCAUAAGUGGGCGUGUCCCUUCCACAUGCCUAAACUACAUCAUCGUCACCUCUAUGGAAAUCCCCUAAAUGGGUGGGGUCUGUUGUGAGAGAACCGCUGGAUGUUGUGUGACAAUGUAUGACACAGCUCUGUGUGUCGUGUCUUUCCUCCUCUACAGGGCUCUACACUGCCAGCAUGGUAUCUAGUGUCUGUGUGUCAUUUCUCUCCUCCUCUAAAGGGCUCUACACUGCCAGCAUGGUAUCUAGUGUCUGUGUGUCGUUUCUCUCCUCCUCUACAGGGCUCUACACUGCCAGAAUGGUAUCUAGUGUCUGUGUGUCGUUUCUCUCCUCCUCUACAGGGCUCUACACUACCAGCAUGGUAUCUAGUGUCUGUGUGUCGUUUCUCUCCUCCUCUAAAGGGCUCUACACUGCCAGCAUGGUAUCUAGUGUCUGUGUGUCGUUUCUCUCCUCCUCUACAGGGCUCUACACUACCAGCAUGGUAUCUAAUGUCUGUGUGUCGUUUCUCUCCUCCUCUAAAGGGCUCUACACUGCCAGCAUGGUAUCUAGUGUCUGUGUGUGUAACUGUAUUGCUUCCAUCCCGCUCCUCGCCCCAACUUGGGCUUAAACCAGGGACCCUCUGAACACAUCAUCAACAGUCACCCAAGAAGCAUGGUUACCUAUCGCUCCACAAAAGCUGCUGCUCCUUGCAGAGCAAGGGAAACAACUAUUUCAAGGUCUCAGAGCGAGUGACGUCACCGAUUUAAACACUAGUAGCACGCACUGCUAACCAGCUAGCCAUUUGACACCGGUUACGUGUGUGUGUUUUGUGUUUGUGGAUUUAGAGACGUUUUCCAUUGAGCUGUAGAAAACACAUCAUCUGAAAACGGUUUCAGUCGGUGACUUUCCUUUUUAUGUUUUUAAACAUGGAGGAUUGUCAAUGUUUUCCUCUCCACAUUCUCUCCCUCCUCCUUUUCCCUCCCUCCUCCCCCACUUUCUCUCUCCUCCCUCCUGAAUUUAUUUACACAAAGUGUCUGUAGGCUAUUUCUCUCCUUCUCCCUGAAGAAUACACCGUUUUUCUACCCCUCAUGGAAUUAAAAGCAUUGUGUUGGUAUUAUUAUGGGAUCGAGAGAGUUUUUUACAAUAUUCGUUCUUAUUUUUUACCUUUACCUCUACAUUUCAAGGGAGAAUGGCAGAAUGGGUCAUUGUCUAUUGCUUAUCACCAUUUAGACCUGUCACCUAAUUGUGUGUGUGUGUGUGUGUGUG